GCAGCCGCCAAGGAUAAAACCUCCUGUGCGGUGAGGGAAAGGGGUGCGAGUCCCUGAGGCGACACUGGGAUGGUGGGGCGCACCCGCGGUCCCGUCCCAGCCUGUCGGGCUCCUGUGGUCGGCACUGGACACAGGGUGGCUGCGAGGCUGCAAGUUUCCUCUGUUCGCCAGUUUUUUCAAAGGCCAUGUGCUCCAGCUCCUGAAGACAAGUGGAAGGCCAGCAACUGAAGAGACAUUUUGGAUUCAAGGAAAUGGACUGUCUUCUACUGGACUUUGAUUUAUGAAGAUGAUGUGAGCUUAGAGCUUUUCGUGUUUCUAUGUGAAGUCUGAAAAUAAAGCUGAUACUCAAGAAGGCAGAACUGGGAGUCGGAGAAAAGUGAAACCCAGAUGGAGAUUUUCGAGCUCUGAAUCGAGUUUUGGCUGAAACAAGCUCUAUCUCUGUGUAUUUUUCAUUCAUAAACAAAUACAUUCACUUUUACCUUAAGUCAGCUUAGACUGCAUUUUCUACCCAUUGAAACUGAAAGAGAUCCAAAUGAUGAUACAGAAAUUAAAUAUUCUUGUUGUUUA